GAUGAACGCUGGCGGCGCGCCUAACACAUGCAAGUCGAACGGUUAAAGCACCUUUUAGGUGUGUAUAAAGUGGCGAACGGCUGAGUAACACGUGGGCAACCUGCCCUCCUCUUGGGGAUAGCCUCGGGAAACCGAGGAUAAUACCCGAUACUUCAAUGUGGCCGCAUGAUGACCUUGAGAAAGCUUUUGCGGAGAAGGAUGGGCCCGCGGCCUGUUAGCUUGUUGGUGGGGUAGAGGCCUACCAAGGCAAUGAUGGGUAGCUGGGUUGAGAGACCGACCAGCCAGAUUGAGACUGAGACACGGCCCAGACUCCGACGGGAGGCAGCAGUGGGGAAGCGUGAACAAUGGGCGAAAGCCUGAUGCAGCGACGCCGCGUGCGGGACGAAGGCCUUGGGGUUGUAAACCGCAUUCAGCAGGGACGAGGCGAUAAGUGACGGUACCUGCAGAAGAAGCCCCGGCUAACUACGUG
rnacentral:rRNA from 1 species